GCUGUGGCUCAGCGGUAGCACACAUGCCUGGCAUGCAUGAGGCACUGGGUUCGAUUCUCAGCACGGCA
rnacentral:tRNA from 1 species